GUAAGACUGGGAUAACUUCGGGAAACCGAAGCUAAUACCGGAUAGGAUCUUCUCCUUCAUGGGAGAUGAUUGAAAGAUGGUUUCGGCUAUCACUUACAGAUGGGCCCGCGGUGCAUUAGCUAGUUGGUGAGGUAACGGCUCACCAAGGCAACGAUGCAUAGCCGACCUGAGAGGGUGAUCGGCCACACUGGGACUGAGACACGGCCCAGACUCCUACGGGAGGCAGCAGUAGGGAAUCUUCCGCAAUGGACGAAAGUCUGACGGAGCAACGCCGCGUGAGUGAUGAAGGCUUUCGGGUCGUAAAACUCUGUUGUUAGGGAAGAACAAGUACGAGAGUAACUGCUCGUACCUUGACGGUACCUAACCAGAAAGCCACGGCUAACUACGUGCCAGCAGCCGCGGUAAUACGUAGGUGGCAAGCGUUAUCCGGAAUUAUUGGGCGUAAAGCGCGCGCAGGCGGUUUCUUAAGUCUGAUGUGAAAGCCCACGGCUCAACCGUGGAGGGUCAUUGGAAACUGGGGAACUUGAGUGCAGAAGAGAAAAGCGGAAUUC
rnacentral:rRNA from 1 species